rnacentral:rRNA from 1 species
UACGUAGGUGGCAAGCGUUGUCCGGAUUUAUUGGGCGUAGAGCGAGCGCAGGCUGUUCUUUAAGUCUGAUGUGAAAGCCCCGGGCUCAACCGGGGAGGUGCAUUGGAAACUGGGGAACUUGAGUGCAGAAGAGGAGAGUGGAAUUCCAUGUGUAGCGGUGAAAUGCGUAGAUAUAUGGAGGAACACCGGUGGCGAAGGCGACUCUCUGGACUGUAACUGACGCUGAGGCUCGAAAGCGUGGGUAGCAAACAGG